rnacentral:rRNA from 1 species
CAUUGAAACACCAAUUCCCAUACAAUCACUAGAGUUAAGCAAUGUCGAGCCUGGUCAGUACCUUGAUGGGUGACCACUUGGGAAUACCGGGU